rnacentral:rRNA from 1 species
UUGCUUUCUCCGCCGGCGACCGGUGCACGGGUGAGUAACACGUAUGCAACCUGCCCCUGUCAGGGGGACAACCCGCCGAAAGGCGGGCUAAACCCGCGUACAUGCCACCGGGGCAUCCCGGAGGCAGGAAAGGCUUCGGCCGGACAGGGAUGGGCAUGCGGCGCAUUAGGCAGUAGGCGGGGUAACGGCCCACCUAACCGACGAUGCGUAGGGGUUCUGAGAGGAAGGUCCCCCACACUGGUACUGAGACACGGACCAGACUCCUACGGGAGGCAGCAG